UAAAUAGCCAGGCUAGCUUUGGCUGGUCGCCGGCUUCUUAGAGGGACUAUCGGCUCAAGCCGAUGGAAGUUUGAGGCAAUAACAGGUUAACCUACACAGGCCUGUAACAGU
rnacentral:rRNA from 1 species